UACGUAGGGUGCAAGCGUUAAUCGGAAUUACUGGGCGUAAAGCGUGCGCAGGCGGUUUUGUAAGUCUGACGUGAAAUCCCCGGGCUCAACCUGGGAAUUGCGAUUGGAGACUGCAAGGCUAGAAUCUGGCAGAGGGGGGUAGAAUUCCACGUGUAGCAGUGAAAUGCGUAGAGUAUGUGGAGGAACACCGAUGGCGAAGGCAGCCCCCUGGGUCAAGAUUGACGCUCAUGCACGAAAGCGUGGGGAGCAAACAGG
rnacentral:rRNA from 1 species